rnacentral:tRNA from 1 species
GCCUGGGUGGCGCAGUGGGUUGAGCGUCUGACUUCGGCUCAGGUCAUGAUCUCACAGUUCGUGAGUUCGAGCCCCACGUCGGGCU